rnacentral:misc_RNA from 1 species
CGUCAACAUUUUUAAAUGGAAAAAUAAUCACGUGUUUGUGGAGUGAAGAGUUUAGAUUUAUUAUUAAAUCUAUAAUGGUAACAAAGAAAGUAAAAGAGUAAUGAAUAUGUUUAUACUCGUAAAUAAUUGAAAUUAGUGUAUAUAUAGAAAUUUAACAUGUCUCGUCGUCGAAAUGUUGAAGUGGUACCAUUGAUGGAUAAAGACGACGAUUGGAAAGAACAAGAUCUCGAAGAUUUAGUUUUGAAUGAUAUAUUGGAUAAUAUAAAACAAUAUCCACAAGUAGUUUCAUACAGACAACUCUGGAAAUCAAUUAUUUUGAUAUCAUUAGCUUCAUUUAUAUUAGGAAUUAUCACAUCUUACUAUUUAUAUAAUGUUUUUAAUGCUAACAAUUCAACAGUUCAAGUUGCUAAGAAAAAUGUGUAUAUAUACAUGAAAGAAAAUCUGUAUGAAGAUAUUAAUCAUAAAAACAUAGAAGAACAUUACAGAAUUCUACAGAAAACAGGAAGUGAGGAAUUACUUUCUUAUAUAAAAAAUAAUUGGGUAAAGGAAGGGCUUGAUACAGUGAAUAUUAUGUCUUACAAUUUUCUUACGUCUUCUAGUGAAGGAAGAUCGGAACAGUUAUCAAUCGUUGAAUCAAAUCAAAAUAAUUCGGAAAGCAUGAAGGAUGAAAAGAAUCAUUUUUAUGAAGUAAAAUGUAUUUAUUGUGAUUGCCCAUUCAUAAAGGAUCAAAUAGUGAUUUGAAAGAUGUCUGACAGGAUUCCUAAACAUAAAUGCAUUUCACAAUAUUAAAAUUAAAGGAUAAAUCUGCAUCUGCAGAUAAAAACACUGCCAAGAACUUUCCAGAAAAACUAUCCAAAAUAGUAAGAGAGGGUGGUUAUGUUCCUGACCGGAUUUUCAACAAUGAUGAAACAGAUCUAUACUGGAAUAAAAUUUUUGGUCACUUUUUACACAGUUUUUUGAAUGAAAUAUAAUUAUUUAUUUCAUUUCACAUGGGUUUUAAUUAAUAACUUGGAACAUAUCUCCCAUUUUACUAUAGGAAACAUCAGCUGUGCAUGAUUUUUUGAGGAAUGUAUCUUCUGUAAAAAUCAAAUUGGGUAUAAUUGUUACCAUCUCUAAGGCAUACAAUACAGAGCAAGUUCUCUAUGCAGUCCUGAUUUGCAGGGUGGUGAAUCAUCUCUGAAAUCCAAAUUGACAGAAGCACACAAAAUGUCAUAUUCCUUGUAAACCACAAAAGAAUCGCAUACGUCUCAGAGAUUGCACUAAACCAGGUCAGAAGAUGGCAGUGCUGUCACUUUUCAGAGCCAAGUG